rnacentral:rRNA from 1 species
UAGACCGAUAGCGAACAAGUAGAGUGAUCGAAAGAUGAAAAGCACUUUGGAAAGAGAGUUAAAAAGCACGUGAAAUUGUUGAAAGGGAAGGGAUUGCAACCAGACUUGCUCGCGGUGUUCCGCCGGUCUUCUGACCGGUCUACUCGCCGCGUUGCAGGCCAGCAUCGUCUGGUGCCGCUGGAUAAGACUUGAGGAAUGUAGCUCCCUCGGGAGUGUUAUAGCCUCUUGUGAUGCAGCGAGCGCCGGGCGAGGUCCGCGCUUCGGCUAGGAUGCUGGCGUAAUGGUUGUAAUCCGCCCGUCUUGAAACACAGACCAAGA